CGUGUAGGCGGUUCCACAAGUCGGCCGUGAAAAGCGUCAGCUCAACUGAAGCAGGGCGACCGAGACUGUGGGGCUCAGAGUGCGGGAGAGGGAAGUGGAAUUCCUGGUGUAGCAGUGAAAUGCGUAGAUAUCAGGAAGAACACCAAUGGCGAAAGCGACUUCCUGGCCCGCUACUGACGCUGAGGCGCGAAAGCCAGGGGAGCGAACG
rnacentral:rRNA from 1 species